UUAUAUGAGAGUUUGAUCCUGGCUCAGGAUGAACGCUGGCGGCGUGCUUAACACAUGCAAGUCGAACGAAGCUGCUUAAAGGAAGUCUUCGGAUGGAAUUUAGGUAGACUUAGUGGCGGACGGGUGAGUAACGCGUGGAUAACCUGCCUUAUACAGGGGGAUAACGGAGAGAAAUUUCCGCUAAGACCGCAUAAGACCACA
rnacentral:rRNA from 1 species